UGGGUGUUCUCAUGGACAGAGUGCUGCCU
rnacentral:piRNA from 1 species